ensembl:misc_RNA RNY1P5 RNY1 pseudogene 5
GGCUGGACCAAAGGUAGUGAGUUAUCUCAAAAUUGAUUGUUCGCAGUCAAUUACAGAUCGAACUCUUUGUUCUACCCUUUCCCCCUUCCUCACUACUGCACUUGACUAGUCUUAA